rnacentral:ribozyme from 1 species
AUUGAGACGCUCUAUCUAAAAAAAAAAAAAAAAAUUAAAAUUUAAAUCUUGCACAUUUU